CCCCGGUAAACGGCGGCCGUAACUAUAACGGUCCUAAGGUAGCGAAAUUCCUUGUCGGGUAAGUUCCGACCUGCACGAAUGGCGUAAUGAUGGCCAGGCUGUCUCCACCCGAGACUCAGUGAAAUUGAACUCGCUGUGAAGAUGCAGUGUACCCGCGGCAAGACGGAAAGACCCCGUGAACCUUUACUAUAGCUUGACACUGAACAUUGAGCCUUGAUGUGUAGGAUAGGUGGGAGGCUUUGAAGUGUGGACGCCAGUCUGCAUGGAGCCGACCUUGAAAUACCACCCUUUA
rnacentral:rRNA from 2 species